ensembl:snRNA U6 U6 spliceosomal RNA
ACAUAUGUCAUGAAGCAUUUGAUAUUGGAAUGAUACAAAGAAGAUUAGCAUGGCCCCUGUUCUCGGAUGACAAGCAAAUUCAUGAAGAAUUCCAUAUAUUU